GAUGAACGCUGGCGGCGUGCCUAAUACAUGCAAGUCGAGCGAACGGACGAGAAGCUUGCUUCUCUGAUGUUAGCGGCGGACGGGUGAGUAACACGUGGAUAACCUACCUAUAAGACUGGGAUAACUUCGGGAAACCGGAGCUAAUACCGGAUAAUAUUUUGAACCGCAUGGUUCAAAAGUGAAAGACGGUCUUGCUGUCACUUAUAGAUGGAUCCGCGCUGCAUUAGCUAGUUGGUAAGGUAACGGCUUACCAAGGCAACGAUGCAUAGCCGACCUGAGAGGGUGAUCGGCCACACUGGAACUGAGACACGGUCCAGACUCCUACGGGAGGCAGCAGUAGGGAAUCUUCCGCAAUGGGCGAAAGCCUGACGGAGCAACGCCGCGUGAGUGAUGAAGGUCUUCGGAUCGUAAAACUCUGUUAUUAGGGAAGAACAUAUGUGUAAGUAACUGUGCACAUCUUGACGGUACCUAAUCAGAAAGCCACGGCUAACUACGUGCCAGCAGCCGCGGUAAUACGUAGGUGGCAAGCGUUAUCCGGAAUUAUUGGGCGUAAAGCGCGCGUAGGCGGUUUUUUAAGUCUGAUGUGAAAGCCCACGGCUCAACCGUGGAGGGUCAUUGGAAACUGGAAAACUUGAGUGCAGAAGAGGAAAGUGGAAUUCCAUGUGUAGCGGUGAAAUGCGCAGAGAUAUGGAGGAACACCAGUGGCGAAGGCGACUUUCUGGUCUGUAACUGACGCUGAUGUGCGAAAGCGUGGGGAUCAAACAGGAUUAGAUACCCUGGUAGUCCACGCCGUAAACGAUGAGUGCUAAGUGUUAGGGGGGUUCCGCCCCUUAGUGCUGCAGCUAACGCAUUAAGCACUCCGCCUGGGGAGUACGACCGCAAGGUUGAAACUCAAAGGAAUUGACGGGGACCCGCACAAGCGGUGGAGCAUGUGGUUUAAUUCGAAGCAACGCGAAGAACCUUACCAAAUCUUGACAUCCUUUGACAACUCUAGAGAUAGAGCUUUCCCCUUCGGGGGACAAAGUGACAGGUGGUGCAUGGUUGUCGUCAGCUCGUGUCGUGAGAUGUUGGGUUAAGUCCCGCAACGAGCGCAACCCUUAAGCUUAGUUGCCAUCAUUAAGUUGGGCACUCUAAGUUGACUGCCGGUGACAAACCGGAGGAAGGUGGGGAUGACGUCAAAUCAUCAUGCCCCUUAUGAUUUGGGCUACACACGUGCUACAAUGGACAAUACAAAGGGCAGCGAAACCGCGAGGUCAAGCAAAUCCCAUAAAGUUGUUCUCAGUUCGGAUUGUAGUCUGCAACUCGACUACAUGAAGCUGGAAUCGCUAGUAAUCGUAGAUCAGCAUGCUACGGUGAAUACGUUCCCGGGUCU
rnacentral:rRNA from 1 species